rnacentral:rRNA from 1 species
AGAAGCGAAAGUGACGGUACCUGCAGAAGAAGCGCCGGCUAACUACGUGCCAGCAGCCGCGGUAAUACGUAGGGCGCAAGCGUUAUCCAGAAUUAUUGGGCGUAAAGAGCUCGUAGGCGGUUUGUCGCGUCUGCCGUGAAAGUCCGGGGCUCAACUCCGGAUCUGCGGUGGGUACGGGCAGACUAGAGUGAUGUAGGGGAGACUGGAAUUCCUGGUGUAGCGGUGAAAUGCGCAGAUAUCAGGAGGAACACCGAUGGCGAAGGCAGGUCUCUGGGCAUUAACUGACGCUGAGGAGCGAAAGCAUGGGGAGCGAACAGGAUUAGAUACCCUGGUAGAAUCACUAGU